GACUUAUCACAAAACUUCAAUCUUCAAUAAAGCCCAGCAUUACUUUUCCUGUCUGAAGGAGACAUGCCGGAGAAGUAAACAUUGGGAGCAGUGUCCGCUUACCUGAACCUGAACCUCUUGCUAAGUGCUCAGCCUUUUGAAGUGGAAUCUGAGAAAUAAAGGAAACACAACAGUGAUGGAUAUUUCCCGGCGGCUGUGGAGUGUCUACAGAG